rnacentral:tRNA from 1 species
GCCUUCGUGGUGUAGUGGUCAGCACGCUCGACGCGCAACCGAGAGGUCCGUGGUUCGAUUCCCGGCGAAGGCA